rnacentral:rRNA from 1 species
GCAGGCUGNAACCCGCCCUGCAUGAAGUCGGAAUUGCUAGUAAUCGCGGAUCAGCAUGCCGCGGUGAAUACGUUCCCGGGCCUUGUACACACCGCCCGUCACACCAUGGGAGCCGGUAAUACCCGAAGUCAGUAGUCCAACCUCGUGAGGACGCUGCCGAAGGUAGGAUUGGCGACUGGGGUGAAGUCGUAACAAGGUACC